rnacentral:rRNA from 1 species
UCAGGAAUAUUGGACAAUGGGGGCAACCCUGAUCCAGCCAUGCCGCGUGAGUGAUGACGGCCUUAGGGUUGUAAAGCUCUUUCGCCGGUGAAGAUAAUGACGGUAACCGGUAAAGAAGCCCCGGCUAACUUCGUGCCAGCAGCCGCGGUAAUACGAAGGGGGCUAGCGUUGUUCGGAAUUACUGGGCGUAAAGCGCACGUAGGCGGACACUUAAGUCAGAGGUGAAAUCCCGGAGCUCAACUUCGGAAUUGCCUUUGAUACUGGGUGUCUCGAGUCCGAGAGAGGUGAGUGGAACUCCGAGUGUAGAGGUGAAAUUCGUAGAUAUUCGGAAGAACACCAGUGGCGAAGGCGGCUCACUGGCUCGGUACUGACGCUGAGGUGCGAAAGCGUGGGGAGCAAACAGG